rnacentral:rRNA from 1 species
UACAGAGACUGCAAGCGUUAUUCGGAUUCACUGGGCGUAAAGGGUGCGCAGGCGGCCAAGUGUGUUAGGCGUGAAAGCCCGAGGCUUAACCUCGGAAUUGCACCUAAAACUACAUGGCUAGAGUACUGGAGAGGGUAACGGAAUUUCCGGUGGAGCGGUGAAAUGCGUAGAGAUCGGAAAGAACACCAACGGCGAAAGCACUCUGCUGGGCCGACACUGACACUGAGAGACGAAAGCUAGGGGAGCGAAUGGG